rnacentral:lncRNA from 1 species
CAAGCAUCGUCCAUGGCGGAUCAGAGCAAGGGCGUCAAGCUGUACGGGACCUCGUUCAAUGGCCACACCACCAUGGUGGAAUGCGCCCUCAGGCUGAAGGGCGUGGCGUACGAGUACGUGGAGGAGGACCGCAAGAACAAGAGCGAGGCGCUUCUCAAGCUCAACCCCGUGCACAAGCAGGUGCCGGUUCUUGUGGUGGAUGGUAAGCCCAUAGCUGAGUCGCAAAUCAUCCUGCAGCACAUCGAUGAUGUGUGGAAGGACCCUCCCCAUCUCCCGGA